rnacentral:lncRNA from 1 species
AAGAGAACACAUACAGACAAGAGCAUCACGCUCGUUCACACAUAGAAACACAUACAGACGAGCAUCACAGAAGAGAACACAUAGAAACACAUACAGACAAGAGCAUCACAGAAAAAGAACACAGAAACACAUACAGACAAGAGCAUCACAGAAAAAGAACACAGAAACACAUACAGACAAGAGCAUCAUAGAAGAGAACACAUAGAAACGCAUACAGACAAGAGCAUCACAGAAAAAGAACACAGAAACACAUACAGACAAGAGCAUCACAGAAAAAGAACACAGAAACACAUACAGACAAGAGCAUCACAGAAAAAGAACACAGAAACACAUCCAGACAAGAGCAUCAUAGAAGAGAACACAACCUGGUCUGGGAUUAGAACAUAACAUGUCUUCAUGAGUUGACCACAGAUGCUCUGAGGAAGUAGAGAGUACCUGUAGACCAUCUUUUCUCAUCACACGGCCCAAGCAGGACUUGGGUACUAUGGUGUCCGUCAUGGGUUCUGCACGUCGUAAAGAAAUGAAUGCAGGCAGGUAACAGUGGAACUUCACUUCCAAAAGAAUAUCAGCUAACAAAUGUAAACUAGCUUUAAGAAGUGUAGGGAGGGGGCCUCGUAGGCCAGUGCUGUGGAUGGAGCCGUCCUCGGCCCCCUGCUCUUCACCUCCUCUGGGUGCUCUUCACCUCCUCUGGGUGCUCUUCACCUCCUCUCCACUGCUGCUGUGUGCUCUUCACCUCCUCUCCUCUGGUGCUCUUCACCUCCUCUCCUCUGGUGCUCUUCACCUCCUCCCCACUGGUGCUCUUCACCUCCUCUCCACUGGUGCUGGGUGCUCUUCACCUCCUCCCCACUGGUGCUGUGUGCUCUUCACCUCCUCUCCUCUGGUGCUCUUCACCUCCUCUCCUCUGGUGCUCUUCACCUCCUCUCCUCUGGUGCUGGGUGCUCCUGCUCUUCACCUCCUCUCCUCUGGUGCUCUUCACCUCCUCCCCACUGGUGCUCUUCACCUCCACUGGUGCUGGGUGCUCCUCACCUCUCCUCCCCACAGGUGCUGGGUGAGGGAAAACAUUUGCUUUGUUAAUGUGCGCUCGGACUCCGCGUCCUUCAGGUGGCCUCCAGGGGUGAUAAAGUGGCAGUUACACGAUCCACCGGCGCACGCAAAAUAGGGAAGAGGUUUCUGUUCGCACCAGCUGUUGCCACGGUGGCGAGGUCAGGGAAUGAGCGGUAACCCUCGGCCAAAUAAAGACCAGCAGUGGGCUGGCUGGGAGUCGGUG